UCCGAUCAGACAAUUGUCCCCGAUCUCGGUC
rnacentral:piRNA from 1 species